UACACUCCUACGGGAGGCAGCAGUGGGGAAUAUUGCACAAUGGGCGGAAGCCUGAUGCAGCAACGCCGCGUGCGGGAUGACGGCCUUCGGGUUGUAAACCGCUUUCGCCUGUGACGAAGCGUGAGUGACGGUAAUGGGUAAAGAAGCACCGGCUAACUACGUGCCAGCAGCCGCGGUGAUACGUAGGGUGCGAGCGUUGUCCGGAUUUAUUGGGCGUAAAGGGCUCGUAGGUGGUUGAUCGCGUCGGAAGUGUAAUCUUGGGGCUUAACCCUGAGCGUGCUUUCGAUACGGGUUGACUUGAGGAAGGUAGGGGAGAAUGGAAUUCCUGGUGGAGCGGUGGAAUGCGCAGAUAUCAGGAGGAACACCAGUGGCGAAGGCGGUUCUCUGGGCCUUUCCUGACGCUGAGGAGCGAAAGCGUGGGGAGCGAACAGGCUUAGAUACCCUGGUAGUCCCAUG
rnacentral:rRNA from 1 species